CUUUACCACCAGACCAUGAGGAAAGUCCUAAAUAUAUUCAUGUAUACAAAAUCUCAUGAUUUAACAGAAGGAUUGGGUCCAAUAUCUGAAGCGUUCUGCUUUAGAGUUUUCUAAAUUUUAGUUAUCCUUCAGAUUUUAACUACAGUCAUGAGCCACCUAUACUAUGACUUAUAUAAUGAUAUUUUCUUUAAGUCGAGUAACGCAUUUAUAUGUUGCUAUUGCUCCUCACAACCUCAGGUAUUUAUUCAUUGUGGAAGCUCAGAUGAUGGACCCAGAUGUAACCUCAGGAUCCUCUUUAUUACAGCGUCUCAAGGACCCCUCUUUCCAAGUUCCCUUCUCAAUACAGCCAAGAGGCUAGAUCUCAUCAAUAAAAUUUUAAAUGUUCGUCACCUGCUGUUGAGACAUCGCUGACCUUGAAAUGCUACCAAAUCAUGUCAGCGUUCCGUCUGAUUCUCGGGAGGACAGCAGUCAAAGCAUGAACACUCUAUUAUUAAUAAAAGGGAGAGACUGACAGGUCA
rnacentral:lncRNA from 1 species